ACGGCUCAGUAACACGUGGAUAACCUACCCUCAGAUCUGGGAUAACUCCGGGAAACUGGAGAUAAUACCGGAUAAUCCGUGAACGCUGGAAUGCCUCACGGUUGAAAGCUUUAGCGUCUGAGGAUGGGUCUGCGGCCGAUUAGGUAGUUGCUGGGGUAACGUCCCAACAAGCCGAUAAUCGGUACGGGUUGUGAGAGCAAGAGCCCGGAGAUGGAUUCUGAGACACGAAUCCAGGCCCUACGGGGCGCAGCAGGCGCGAAAACUUUACACUGCGCGAAAGCGCGAUAAGGGGACCUCGAGUGCGUGCGCAAUGCGUACGCUUUUCAAAUGCCUAAAAAGCAUUUGGAAUAAGGGCCGGGCAAGACCGGUGCCAGCCGCCGCGGUAACACCGGCGGCUCAAGUGGUGGCCGCUAUUAUUGGGCUUAAAGGGUCCGUAGCCGGACCAGUUAGUCCCUUGGGAAAUCUUACGGCUCAACCGUAAGGCUGCCAAUGGAUACUGCUGGUCUUGGGACCGGGAGAGGCAAGAGGUACCUCAGGGGUAGGAGUGAAAUCCUGUAAUCCUUGAGGGACCGCCAGUGGCGAAGGCGUCUUGCUAGAACGGGUCCGACGGUGAGGGACGAAAGCUAGGGGCACGAACCGGAUUAGAUACCCGGGUAGUCCUAGCCGUAAACGAUACGAGCUAGGUGUCACGUGGAUUGCGAAUCCAUGUGGUGCCGUAGGGAAACCGUGAAGCUCGCCGCCUGGGAAGUACGGCCGCAAGGCUGAAACUUAAAGGAAUUGGCGGGGGAGCAC
rnacentral:rRNA from 1 species